UGGGGGAUAUUGCACAAUGGGGGAAACCCUGAUGCAGCGACGCCGCGUGAGGGAAGAAGGUCUUCGGAUUGUAAACCUUUGUCUUAGGGGACGAAGAAUGACGGUACCCUAGGAGGAAGCCACGGCUAACUACGUGCCAGCAGCCGCGGUAAUACGUAGGUGGCAAGCGUUGUCCGGAAUUAUUGGGUGUAAAGGGUGCGUAGGCGGGGAGGCAAGUCGGAUGUGAAAUACCCAGGCUCAACUUGGGGGCUGCAUUCGAAACUGUUUUUCUUGAGUGAAGUAGAGGCAAGCGGAAUUCCUAGUGUAGCGGUGAAAUGCGUAGAUAUUAGGAGGAACACCAGUGGCGAAGGCGGCUUGCUGGGCUUUUACUGACGCUGAAGCACGAAAGCAUGGGGAGCAAACAGG
rnacentral:rRNA from 2 species